UAGUUUGCAAGUUCAGAUUAAAAGGAACAGUGGUUACACUACCUAAGUGUGGCAGAAAAAGGAAGAGAAAGCAGGUUGUGAAAAAUCCUGCAAAAGACCUGCAGUAAGAUUUGGUGGCAACAGGCACUGAGGUUUGAGUGAGCACAGUAAGGUGCGUAAUAAACGCAGAAGGUUUCUAUACUCCAAGUACACCACUACUGACCCAAAAG